UACGGAGGGUGCAAGCGUUAUCCGGAAUCACUGGGUUUAAAGGGUGCGUAGGCGGUCUUGUAAGUCAGUAGUGAAAUCGCUGGGCUCAACCCAUGCAAUUGCGAUUGAUACUGCGAGACUUGAAUGGGGUUAAGGCAGGCGGAAUGUGGCAUGUAGCGGUGAAAUGCAUAGAUAUGCCAUAGAACACCGAUUGCGAAGGCAGCCUGCUGGGCCUUUAUUGACGCUGAGGCACGAAAGCGUGGGGAGCAAACAGG
rnacentral:rRNA from 1 species